UCUAAAAACAGAGCUCAGUGGUAGAGCAUUUGACUGCAGAUCAAGAGGUCCCCAGUUCAAUUCUGGGUGCCCCCUUUGGAA
rnacentral:tRNA from 1 species